UCUCUAGUUCACUCGAACCUCAGGCAGACUCGAUCCUGUGGGUACCCAUUUCAUAGACCGGCAAACUGAGGUUUAUCCACGGUAAAUGACACAGCCCUCUGCUGCUGCUGCUGCUAAGUUCCUCCGAGAGCUCAUCCUCUGUGCCAGAUAGUGAGCUGAACCCUGUGUAUGAUCUCCUAGCCUGCCUGCGACGUGGGGACUAUUACUGCCCCAUCGCGCAGAUGCGCUAAGCUUGGGAGUCUUUAAGUUACUCGGCUUAAGUUCCUUUACAGCAACGGCUGGCAUUAAAGUUCAUGGCCAGGCUCCAGAGCCUGCCCUGGGACACCCUCCCUCGUUGCCAGACCUGGGCGUGGCUGUUCUCCCGAGCGCGCUCCGUGGACGGACACGACGCGAAGAUGCUCAGGAGCACGUUCACUUGUGGAGUUGGUGUGAAGAAUAGUGACCUGGAUGGAUGCCCGACAUGGUCUUGCGUGCUGUAUGGAUGCCACCACCCUGUACCUGUCCUGUGAGCCCUGACCCUGGCUUGAUAUCUGUACCUGCUCUGCAAGCUGGCUCAUGGGAAGAGACCAAGUGUGGGAGAAGAAUGAUAUGUGUAUGGAAAAGGCGGCCAGAACUUCCACCUGAGAACUGUAGCAUGCUCCUUUACCUGGGGAGAAAUCACGUGGAGUCCACGCAGCCCCCUGCUCCCCUCAGCUGGAUCCGCUCCCCCUCCCCUAGGCUCCAUCUGGCCCAUUUGGAACGUGAAUGCAUGGGGUGUACCCUGUUCUUAGGGCUUAGCCUCACUCGAAGACCAUGAGCUCCUGGAGAAGAAUAACCACGUCCACUAUGUCUUUGGUCUUCCCUUUGCGUGUAGGAAAUAUGAACAAAAUUAAACGAAUAGCUGUUUACAUUUGGGAGACAGGUCAGAGUUGAGGAUUACAAGCUCUAGGGCGAAGCUCCUCAUCUCCAACCUGUGAUCUUAGGAAAGUCGUUUCCCGUCCUUGCCUCUGUGGUUCCUCCCUGAACCGGACAUAUUGGCGGGGUGACCUUGCAGGUAUUUUCUAGUAUUUUCUAAGCACGCAUGCUACUGACGCCUGUGGGGUAGACGGCAGCCAAACGAGCGAUGCAGAAGCACCCGGGGAACACGCUCCCAUUUCACAGUGCACUUUAAUUAGCUGUGUGUGCAUGCGUGUGCCCGUGUGUAAAGAACAUGCAUGACGACGGUGGCUGUGACAACGCCGUCACAGAGUGGGGAGUCUACCUUUUUCUCUUUUUUUGGCGGGGGGAGUCUACUUUUGAGAAACUUAGGCAGGGUGCUUCCCAUCACACUACCUGUCCUACCGCGAAUCCUGGCGAGCAUCUGCACACCGACAGGGCUUUGCUUGCCCGUCCAUCAGUCCACGUCCCCACCUGGCUCCCCUCUCAACUCCCAGCCAGCCCGGCCGUGGAGGGAGGGAGCGCGGGAGGCUGCAUCUGAAGCUGUCCGUUACCAGUAGUCUGUUUAGAAGGUGGAUUGCUAAUUGUUUGAUUUUUCUGCCAACAGGAUUCCCUGCAAAUUAGAAUUGUAAUCUCUGUGGGUAUUUCUUGAAUUAAAGGAAAAUAUAUAAUAAAAUAAAUAAAUAUUAGUUGUUUGGUUGUAUAA